GCGGCCUCAAGUACCAGGCCCGAUGCAUCGCCGACGUUAAGGCCGACGUUGACCACACCAGCUUCCUCGCCGGAACUCUCAGCCUCAAAGAGGAAAACGAGGUGCAUCUGAUCCGACUUUCGCCGU